UACGGGGGGGGCAAGCGUUGUUCGGAAUUACUGGGCGUAAAGGGCUCGUAGGCGGCCAACUAAGUCAGACGUGAAAUCCCUCGGCUUAACUCGGGAACUGCGUCUGAUACUGGAAGGCUGGAGUUCGGGAGAGGGAUGUGGAAUUCCAGGUGUAGCGGUGAAAUGCGUAGAUAUCUGGAGGAAUACCGGUGGCGAAGGCGGCAUCCUGGACCGGAAUUGACACUGAGGAGCGAAAGCCAGGGGAGCAAACGGG
rnacentral:rRNA from 1 species